AAGUUCAUCCAUUCGUUCUCCGAAAUUACUUGUAAAUGUGACCAAUACUGAUUUUUCCCAUAUUGUAAUUUAUUCCACUACAUUUCAACUACAUAAAUACUGCUGCAAGUCUGCUGUAUAAUUUAUAAUACUAGAGUUCUUCGUUUAAUUGAGUUCAUUGUGCCCAGCUUGUGUGUUUUUCGUUAAAUCUGUGCUGAAAAUUAACUAAUUGCCUACUUCGCUGAAGAGUUCGUUUGUGCGUAAGCUUAUUUUUUCAUAUCAAGAUAACGACUUGCCGGACGUACAAAGGACUGAAGUCCAAAUAUUCCUAAUUUCGAGCAAAAAUGAAGACGUCAGCCAUAGUUGGCUGUCUGCUGCUUUGUGUCACUUCCUUGGCUUCUUCAGUUGCUAGUCAGAGUAAUAACAACGGAGAAAAAGAAGCAAGUGAUCCACAGGUAUCUACAUUGGGUUCAAAUUAUGGCGAAUUCGAUGACCCCGAGGUGCCAACUACGAGCAAUCCGAACUAUGGGGAGUUCGAUGAUCCUGAAAUCCCUACUACAAGUGCUUCAAGUACAAGUGAUCCAUCUCCCACAUCAUUAGAGCACUUGGAUGGGAAACAAACAAUUGAAGACGGCAUAUGUACACAGAGCCAUUGCCUAAACAAUUUGUUGUUUAGUUUCGUCAUUUGUACCAUUAUAUUGGUGAUUGUUAUUGGAGCCCUAUUUUUUUUUAAAAAAAAGGUCUCCCUCGGUUCCCCCAAUCAAUGUUGGUUAGGUAAUUAGCCCUUUUCAAAUGAAAAUUUAAGCACUUGAUCCGGGUAUGGAACCAGGAUAAUAUGAUAUUGAUUUUAUAUAUUAUUUCGAACAUUUCUUGAGAACUGUAGAAAGUGCUUCCCCAGUACAACUCAGUGAUAUCUUUUGUGCUUGCAAAAGCCAAGCAAACAAAGACCAGCCGAAGAUAUUGUUACAUGGAGAAAAAAAUAAUAGUAGGUAAAGGUAUAAUGUACCCGCGGAAAAAAGUUCAGAUGUAGCCAUACGUUCAUGGUAAAAAAAUGUCCACUAUUCUGAUAGUAAAUUAAGUCAAAGUACAGGUUUUUGAUGGUUUCAAAACUUUUCACGAAUGUUUAGUCACAUUGGUACAUGCUUUUUUGAUAAGGUAUAAAAUGCAAGGUUGGCAAGAAAAAAACAGUCAUGUUUAAAACAGUAAAAAAAAAUUGGAAGUGUUUGAAACAUUUUAAACGUUGCUUUUUUUUUUUUAAUGAAAAAAAUAGUAACAUUGACUGAUUGACCACAAAAUGUAUUGUCCAAGUAUUUUGCUUAUUUGAGUCAGUCAUUUCGAAAACUCCAUAAAUCACCAUUCAAGGGGUUUUUAUGUUUUUCACUGAUUCUGAUGGAGCGUAUGCGCGCUCUAUCGGAUGAAGUUUGGAAGGGAGCUCAAAAGUGCAUAUUUAAGGGUUUGUUAUUUUGAAAACCCCCGUAACUCCUGCAGUCACGGGGUUUUUGAAAACUUUUUUUUUUAUAAGUCAAACGAAGAACAUUAAUUUCAAUUUAUGCCGUAAAAUAGAUAAAAUUUUUGUUGCUUCUUUAUUACAUUAAUUUAAUUAAAUCGUAGAUUGUAGGUAUAACCUCAAUAAAUGAAUGAAAAUCCGUAUUCAAUCAUUUUGGGUAUUGGAGUUACGGGAUUUUCUAGGAUUACGGGUCACUUUUCAGGUUUUAAAAAGCGGUUUUACCAUAAAAAUACAGCACACAGACAGUUUUUUUCGUUUCUUGAAAAAUUUUAAAAACGUCAGAUUGGGGUUUUCGAAAUGACUGACUCAUUUAUUCAAAAUUCUGAACCAGAUCCUGAACAUUAGAGCCAGCUUACCAUCAAAAAAGACCAAAAAUGCAUAAAAAUCGCAUUCAAAGUGCCAUAGAAUGCAGUUAUGCAGGGUUUCACAGAAAAAUUACAUACUUGGCAUCGGGAGAAGUCCCCCAACACAACCCCGUCGAGUUUUUUUUGGUCCCGACCAUGUCCCCAAAACCACCUUUUUGAGGGUCCGCCCCACCCCGUUGUGCGGGGUAAAAAUUUCAAAAUUGCUCUUUCCUGAAUGGGGCAGGUAGUAGCUUCAGUUUGGCAGCGUGUUUUUUUGGUCCCAAAAAAAAAAUACAAAAUCAACUUCUAGAGCACUUUUUCAUGUUGGAUUAUAGUCUCCAAUUGUAGAAUUUCAAACUCAACUGUGGUGAUUUGUACUAUUCCUUUUUCUCCAUGUAUCAAGUGGCAGUGGUAAGGGAGGGACGCCAAAUAUGGAAUGCAACAAUAUCUCGAAUGUUUACCAUUGAAAUCUACCAAUGAUGGCAAUGAUGGUCAGAAUCAAUUGAGUUGGUGAAAUAACCGGCCCAUAAGUACGAGUUUUGGUGGUGAUCCGUGAAGUUAUUUGUGUUAAGUGACCAAAAUGUGAUUUCAUAUCAAAGAUUCUUUGAGUAGCCUAUUAUGGAAUAUUUUGUCUUUCGGAUUUGUCAACGUUAAUUUACCACUAAACGAGCCGGCCGUCAUUUGUUGGCUCAACGGUUAGAAGUUUAAAAAAAAAAUGGAAAAUGUUGUUUUUCCAUUUCUUUUUAUCGGUGUUGUUUUUUUUUUUUUUAAUGUGAUUUGUAGUGGUAUGAAGUUUUAUUUUAAAGUGAAUAGAAAGUUCAAAAAAUUUGAAACUGGUUGCAUCAUACUCAUUAAACUAUUGAAGCUCGAUCUUGAAUGAUAUUUUAGUGAUUAGGAGAUUAUAAAACAUUGUUUCUUGAAAAGAUUUUUAAAUUUUGAAUUUAAAUUUUACUAGUGCUUCAAUUUUUAAACUUCAAGUGCAAGUUGAAAGUAUUAGGGAUUAUGUUAGAAUAAUAAAAAAUUGUAAAGUUUCCAACUCAGAGAAAUGUUGGAGAAAUUUUCAAAUUUUUAACUGUAAUUUUAACGAUUAACCGAAAUUUUAAUCUCAACUAGAAAAAUGAUCACCAAUAACCUACAAUAACCGUACCAUAACCCGAACCUUGACUGUAAAUUUAAAAAAGUGAAUAACCUUAACCGUAACCUAUUACCUAAAUUUUGAAUUUCUUGUUAAAUUUGUAUCCAUAAGUUCCAUAACCAAAAAGUUUUUUAGGUCAAGAAGCCUGGUUCCCUCUAACUUUAAGUUUCAAUUGCGUCGUUGUCAUUGUAUUUUUCUUACCUUCGAGCGAAAAGUACUACUUUUCCAAACUCUCCGCGAGAGUCGCUCGAAUUUAAAAAUAAUUUCUUGUAAUGUACACUAUGUACCUAAACUUUAAGUUUCAAUUUCGUCAUUACCAUUGUAUUUUUAUUCUUGUAAUGUAUGUACCUAUGUUGUCUAAUGUGAAUAAUUAUCAAUUUGACGAGUCUAUCCGUGA